AGAGUUUGAUCAUGGCUCAGAACGUACGCUGGCGGCACGCCUAACACAUGCAAGUCGAACGCAGUAGCAAUACUGAGUGGCAAACGGGUGAGUAUAAUGUGGGAAUCUGCCUUUUGGUUUGGAAUAACACGGGGAAACUUGUGCUAAUACCGAAUAAGCCCUUACGGGGAAAGUUUUAAUGCCGAAAGAUGAGCCUGCACUUGAUUAGCUAGUUGGUAAGGUAAAAGCUUACCAAGGCAACGAUCAAUAGCUGUUCUUAGAGGAAGACCAGCCACAUUGGGACUGAGACACGGCCCAGACUCCUACGGGAGGCAGCAGUGGGGAAUCUUGCACAAUGGGGGAAACCCUGAUGCAGCGAUGCCGCGUGAGUGAAGAAGGCCCUUGGGUUGUAAAACUCUUUCGUCGGGGAAGAAAAUGACUGUACCCGAAUAAGAAGGUCCGGCUAACUUCGUGCCAGCAGCCGCGGUAAUACGAAGGGACCUAGCGUAGUUCGGAAUUACUGGGCUUAAAGAGCUCGUAGGUGGUUAAAAAAGUUGAUGGUGAAAUCCCAAGGCUCAACCUUGGAACUGCCAUCAAAACUUUUUAGCUAGAGUGUGAUAGAGGUAAGUGGAAUUUCUAGUGUAGAGGUGAAAUUCGUAGAUAUUAGAAAGAACACCAAAUGCGAAGGCAACUUACUGGGUCACUACUGACACUGAGGAGCGAAAGCAUGGGUAGCGAAGAGGAUUAGAUACCCUCGUAGUCCAUGCCGUAAACGAUGUGUGCUA
rnacentral:rRNA from 1 species